AGUGAACGCUGGCGGUAGGCCUAACACAUGCAAGUCGAACGGCAGCACAGUAAGAGCUUGCUCUUACGGGUGGCGAGUGGCGGACGGGAGAGGAAUACAUCGGAAUCUACUUUUUCGUGGGGGAUAACGUAGGGAAACUUACGCUAAUACCGCAUACGCCCUACGGGUGAAAGCAGGGGAACUUCGGACCUUGCGCGAUUGAAUGAGCCGAUGUCGGAUUAGCUAGUUGGCGGGGUAAAGGCCCACCAAGGCGACGAUCCGUAGCUGGUCUGAGAGGAUGAUCGGCCACACUAGAGCUGAGACACGGUCCAGACUCCUACGAGAGGCAGCAGUGGGGAAUAUUGGACAAUGGUCGCAAGCCUGAUCCAGCCAUACCGCGUGUGUUAAGAAGGCCUUCGGGUUGUAAAGCCGUUUUGUUGGGUAAGAAAAGCAGCAGGUUAAUACCCCGCUGGUCUGACGGUACCCAAAGAAUAAGCACCGGCUAACUUCGUG
rnacentral:rRNA from 1 species